rnacentral:rRNA from 1 species
GGAACGGUCUGGAAAGUCCGACGGUACAGGGUGAUAGUCCCGUACACCAAAAUGCACAGGCUGUGAACUCGAAGAGUAGGGCGGGACACGUGGUAUCCUGUCUGAAUAUGGGGGGACCAUCCUCCAAGGCUAAAUACUCCUGACUGACCGAUAGUGAACCAGUACCGUGAGGGAAAGGCGAAAAGAACCCCGGCGAGGGGAGUGAAAAAGAACCUGAAACCGUGUACGUACAAGCAGUGGGAGCACCUUCGGGUGUGACUGCGUACCUUUUGUAUAAUGGGUCAGCGACUUAUAUUCUGUAGCAAGGUUAACCGUAUAGGGGAGCCGCAGGGAAACCGAGUCUUAACUGGGCGUUAAGUUGCAGGGUAUAGACCCGAAACCCGGUGAUCUAGCCAUGGGCAGGUUGAAGGUUGGGUAACACUAACUGGAGGACCGAACCGACUAAUGUUGAAAAAUUAGCGGAUGACUUGUGGCUGGGGGUGAAAGGCCAAUCAAACCGGGAGAUAGCUGGUUCUCCCCGAAAGCUAUUUAGGUAGCGCCUCGUGAAUUCAUCUUCGGGGGUAGAGCACUGUUUCGGCUAGGGGGUCAUCCCGACUUACCAACCCGAUGCAAACUACGAAUACCGAAGAAUGUUAUCACGGGAGACACACGGCGGGUGCUAACGUCCGUCGUGAAGAGGGAAACAACCCAGACCGCCAGCUAAGGUCCCAAAGUCAUGGUUAAGUGGGAAACGAUGUGGGAAGGCACAGACAGCCAGGAUGUUGGCUUAGAAGCAGCCAUCAUUUAAAGAAAGCGUAAUAGCUCACUGGUCGAGUCGGCCUGCGCGGAAGAUGUAACGGGGCUAAACCAUGCACCGAAGCUGCGGCAGCGACACUAUGUGUUGUUGGGUAGGGGAGCG